rnacentral:rRNA from 1 species
UACGGGGGGGGCAAGCGUUGUUCGGAAUUACUGGGCGUAAAGGGCUCGUAGGCGGCCAACUAAGUCAGACGUGAAAUCCCUCGGCUUAACCGGGGAACUGCGUCUGAUACUGGAUGGCUUGAGGUUGGGAGAGGGAUGCGGAAUUCCAGGUGUAGCGGUGAAAUGCGUAGAUAUCUGGAGGAACACCGGUGGCGAAGGCGGUAUCCUGGACCGAUACUGACGCUGAGGAGCGAAAGCCAGGGGAGCAAACGGG